rnacentral:rRNA from 1 species
AACGUAGGUCACAAGCGUUGUCCGGAAUUACUGGGUGUAAAGGGAGCGCAGGCGGGAAGACAAGUUGGAAGUGAAAUCUAUGGGCUCAACCCAUAAACUGCUUUCAAAACUGUUUUUCUUGAGUAGUGCAGAGGUAGGCGGAAUUCCCGGUGUAGCGGUGGAAUGCGUAGAUAUCGGGAGGAACACCAGUGGCGAAGGCGGCCUACUGGGCACCAACUGACGCUGAGACUCGAAAGUGUGGGUAGCAAACAGG